rnacentral:rRNA from 1 species
GAUGAACGCUGGCGGCGUGCCUAAUACAUGCAAGUCGAGCGAACAGACGAGGAGCUUGCUCCUCUGACGUUAGCGGCGGACGGGUGAGUAACACGUGGAUAACCUACCUAUAAGACUGGGAUAACUUCGGGAAACCGGAGCUAAUACCGGAUAAUAUAUUGAACCGCAUGGUUCAAUAGUGAAAGACAGUUUUGCUGUCACUUAUAGAUGGAUCCGCGCCGCAUUAGCUAGUUGGUAAGGUAACGGCUUACCAAGGCAACGAUGCGUAGCCGACCUGAGAGGGUGAUCGGCCACACUGGAACUGAGACACGGUCCAGACUCCUACGGGAGGCAGCAGUAGGGAAUCUUCCGCAAUGGGCGAAAGCUUGACGGAGCAACGCCGCGUGAGUGAUGAAGGUCUUCGGAUCGUAAAACUCUGUUAUUAGGGAAGAACAAAUGUGUAAGUAACUAUGCACGUCUUGACGGUACCUAAUCAGAAAGCCACGGCUAACUACGU